CCAGAGAACUUAGCAGAGAUGCUUUGGUGCCUUCGGGAACUCUGAGACAGGUGCUGCAUGGCUGUCGUCAGCUCGUGUUGUGAAAUGUUGGGUUAAGUCCCGCAACGAGCGCAACCCUUAUCCUUUGUUGCCAGCGGCUCGGCCGGGAACUCAAAGGAGACUGCCGGUGAUAAACCGGAGGAAGGUGGGGAUGACGUCAAGUCAUCAUGGCCCUUACGGCCAGGGCUACACACGUGCUACAAUGGCGCAUACAAAGAGAAGCGACCUCGCGAGAGCAAGCGGACCUCAUAAAGUGCGUCGUAGUCCGGAUUGGAGUCUGCAACUCGACUCCAUGAAGUCGGAAUCGCUAGUAAUCGUAGAUCAGAAUGCUACGGUCGAAUACGUUCCCGGGCCUUGUACACACCGCCCGUCACACCAUGGGAGUGGGUUGCAAAAGAAGUAGGUAGCUUAACCUUCGGGAGGGCGCUUACCACUUUGUGAUUCAUGACUGGGGUGAAGUCGUAACAAGGUAGGCGUAGCGAG
rnacentral:rRNA from 1 species